rnacentral:misc_RNA from 1 species
CGGAGAAGAAGCAAGAGACGCGUCCAUUGUAGACAUGGUUGACUUUGAGAAGAUGGCGAAAGAGAUGGGAAUAGAAAUCCAAGGAUUUGUGAUUUUCAGCGAGAGGGCUUGAAAUUCCCUUGCGGAUGAAAAAACUUUCAACCUCGUGCACAUACUGUGAUGGCAAUGCUUUGGAGACCGCAGCUGCUAUUGAAGAAGAUGACGCUUUUUCUUCCGGGGAGACAGUGGUGGUGGUGGUUGAAGAAUUCUUAGUGUUUGCCAUUUGUUCC